rnacentral:rRNA from 1 species
GACGAACGCUGGCGGCGUGCUUAACACAUGCAAGUCGAACGGAAAGGCCCUGCUUUUGUGGGGUGCUCGAGUGGCGAACGGGUGAGUAACACGUGAGUAACCUGCCCUUGACUUUGGGAUAACUUCAGGAAACUGGGGCUAAUACCGGAUAGGAGCUCCUGCUGCAUGGUGGGGGUUGGAAAGUUUCGGCGGUUGGGGAUGGACUCGCGGCUUAUCAGCUUGUUGGUGGGGUAGUGGCUUACCAAGGCUUUGACGGGUAGCCGGCCUGAGAGGGUGACCGGCCUCAUGGGGACUGAGAUACGGCCCAGACGCCUACGGGAGGCAGCAGUGGGGAAUAUUGCACAAUGGGCGGAAGCCUGAUGCAGCAACGCCGCGUGCGGGAUGACGGCCUUCGGGUUGUAAACCGCUUUCGCCUGUGACGAAGCGUGAGUGACGGUAAUGGGGAAAGAAGCACCGGCUAACUACGU